GGGAGUGAAAUAGAACCUGAAACCCUGCACUUACAAGCUGUGGAAGCACAUUUCUUGUGUGACCGCGUACUUUUUGUAGAACGGGCCAACGAGUUACGUUAAGUAGCAAGGUUAAGCACUUAAGGUGCGGAGCCGUAGCGAAAGCGAGUUUUAACUGAGCGUUCAGUUACUUGACGUAGACCCGAAACCGGGCGACCUACCCAUGAGCAGGAUGAAGCGAAAGUAAAAUUUCGUGGAGGUCCGAACCCACGAGCGUUGAAAAGCUCGGGGAUGACUUGUGGGUAGCGGUGAAAUUCCAAUCGAGCCCGGAGAUAGCUGGUUCUCCCCGAAAUAGCUUUAGGGCUAGCCUCAAGGUGAG
rnacentral:rRNA from 1 species